rnacentral:rRNA from 1 species
UACAGAGGGGGCAAGCGUUGUUCGGAAUUACUGGGCGUAAAGGGCGCGUAGGCGGCCUUCUAAGUCGAACGUGAAAUCCCCGGGCUCAACCCGGGAACUGCGUCCGAGACUGGAAGGCUUGAAUCCGGGAGAGGGAUGUGGAAUUCCAGGUGUAGCGGUGAAAUGCGUAGAUAUCUGGAGGAAUACCGGUGGCGAAGGCGGCAUCCUGGACCGACAUUGACGCUGAACGGCGAAAGCUAGGGGAGCAAACGGG